CGCAUAGGCGGUUAGGGAAGUGUGAUGUGAAAGCCCCGGGCUUAACCUGGGAAGUGCAUCGCGGACUUUCUAACUGGAGUAUAUGAGAGGGUGGCGGAAUUUCCGGUGUAGCGGUGAAAUGCGUAGAGAUCGGAAGGAACGUCAAUGGCGAAGGCAGCCACCUGGCAUAAUACUGACGCUGAGGCGCGAGAGCGUGGGGAGCGAACAGGAUUAGAUACCCUGGUAGUCCACGCUGUAAACGAUGAGGACUAAAUGUUGGUAGGGGAACCUAUCAGUAUUGAAGCUAACGCGAUAAGUCUUCCGCCUGGGAAGUACGGCCGCAAGGUUGAA
rnacentral:rRNA from 1 species